rnacentral:misc_RNA from 1 species
GUAGGUGAACCUGCGGAAGGAUCAUUAAAAAGAUAUUUUAUCUUUUCCUUUUUAUUUUUAGAAGCCGCGUGCAUUCAGCAUGUCAAUCUAAAUAAACACCCCCUCUGCGUACCUUCUACCUGGUUGCUUCCGCGAAGACUGUGAUGGGAGGGGAGAAGGACUUUGUUUCCCUCUCUUCUUCCUCACAUCCUCGCGAAAGGGCAUACUUUCAAACUUUUCUUUGUCAAUUUAAUAUGUGUAAAAUUGUCUGAUUUUUUGUGGCACGUAAAACAUGCACGCAAAAUUUAUUUAUAUAAACAAAAAACAAGUUAAAACUUUCAACAACGGAUCUCUUGGUUCUC